UACGUAGGGUGCAAGCGUUGUCCGGAAUUAUUGGGCGUAAAGAGCUUGUAGGCGGUUUGUCGCGUCUGCUGUGAAAUUUCGGGGCUCAACCCCGAACUUGCAGUGGGUACGGGCAGACUAGAGUGUGGUAGGGGAGACUGGAAUUCCUGGUGUAGCGGUGAAAUGCGCAGAUAUCGGGAGGAACACCGGUGGCGAAGGCGGCGACCUGGGUCGAGACUGACGCUGAGGCGCGAAAGCGUGGGGAGCAAACAGG
rnacentral:rRNA from 1 species